rnacentral:lncRNA from 1 species
UUACUUUCAUAAUUCAAAAUGAUACUCAUAUGAAUAUGAUAUCCUAGGUACAUGCCAUUACCAAUAAAUAAUAUACCUUUCCACUUAGAGUUCGGAAUUGGCUUGGGAUGCUGAUCCAACGAUCUGACUUUAACUUAUCCUGCUCACGGAAACAAACCGUAUGUUGAGUAUGAACUCAUUGGUAUUUUUAUAAUCCGAACACUUAAUAAUAUGAAAAUAUAACAUUUACUUAAAAAUCAUAUAACAAUCACAAUUAUAUAAUUGUUCAAUUCAUAAAUAAGUCCUUUAUAACCCAUUCAAUUCUUUCAUCUACUAACCUGUAUAAUUUUCCACAAUAUGUUCACAAUUCACUUGAACAAUAAUAUUAUUCACUUAUAUCCAUUUUAGAGUUAAAUAAAUUCAUGUGUUUCAAUCAUGUUUCACUUUAUUAUUCAAUAUCAAUAAAUAAUAUUCAACAACUCACAUUUCAAUCAAUAAUCCGUUUUAUUCCAAGCUCAAUAUCAAUCUGUGUUUUUCAAUAUCAAUCAAUUUAUUAGUAUCAUUCAGUAACAAUCAAUUAUUCAGUAGCAAUCAGUUAUUCAAUAACAAUCAAUCAUUCAGUAAUAGUUAGUCAUUCAAUGCCUUUAUUCACCCCUAUUAACAUGACUCGGACAUUGACGGAUACACGGAUCCAACCAACACACCAGUACGGCACUCAAUGCCUCAUCGGCUUUGCCAAAGUAAACAGUAACAGUACGAUCCUCAGUACCUUACCGGAUUAAACCAAAGUAACAGUAACAGUACGACACACAUGGUGCCUCAUCGACUCGAAGUCGAAGUAACAGUACGACACUUAUAGUGCCUCAUCGACUAAAGGUCGAAGUAUCCCUAAACACUUUCAAUCCUAUGGCAUGCCAAUUAUAUCCGGUUUAUCCCAAUACUGUUAAUAGGGUUUUAAUAAAUUUUUAGUAUUCAAUCGAUACACAUUUCAAUUUAAUCACAUAAAUUAGUAAUUCAAUAGAAUUUACUUUACUUUUCAUUAACAUACACUCAAAUUUCACAAUAAUCACCUAUUCAUAUUUAUUUCAUUACAUUCCCCAUCAAUUUAAUUUUCAAUAUAACAUACUUUCAAUAUUCAAUUUACACAUCAAUCACAUAUAUCCAUAUAAAUUCAAUACAUUUAUCACAUACCAAAUCAAUCCAUUUCAAUUGUAAAACACAAUCCAAAUAAUUCUCACCUUAAUUACUUAUCAUAAUAUUUAAUCAAAAUACAACAAUUAAUAAUUAAAUUUACUUUUCAAUUUCAACCAAGGUUCACUCCAAUUCAAAAUAAUCAUCUCAAUGCACUUACCAUACAUAUUAAAUAAUAAUUUCAACAAUUAAAUAUUAAGUUCGGAUUAUAGAAAUUCAAACUGUAAUUUCCGAGACCCUCGUUGACUUUGUCUUUUCCUUUCUUAGCCGAGGUUUUCCGGCACAACGUUAACUACGAAAAUUAACACAAUUUUCAUAAGCAUUAAUACAAUACUAAUUUACAUUUAAUAUUUAAAUUUCUUAUUCAAUUUCUACUUUAAUUUCAAUUUUAAUCUUACCUAAAUUCAUUUCCUUUUCUAUCUCAAUUCAUACUUUAUUUCUACUCAAUUUUCAACCAAACUUAGACAUAACUGUCUAAAUUUUAUCAUAAAACCCUAAUUUCAAAAUUCUUACAAUUUAGUCUAAUAAAUUUCCACUUAAAACAAGUAGUAUUUAUCUCUAAGAUUCCAUAAACAUCAAAAUUACAAGAAAAGAGACUAAAUUAACUUACCACUUAAGCUUCAAACUAUAAAACCUCAAUUUCUCCUCCUUUUUCUUCCCCUUUUUUC